UCUCUCCAGGGCUCAGUGAAAACCUCUGAGUAAACAAGGUUGAGAGGUCUUUAGAGGCUCCUUACCUUCAGCCCUGCAGCUCCAGCCAGCGCUACUGAGCACAUCUUGUUCUCCACGCUGAAGGAACGGGAGAGGGAACUGGCGCCACCACGAGAUCCGGGGGCGCCAGCUUCAGCCCCACCCAUAUUCCGACAAACCCCGCCUCCUGCGCCACGACUGGCUAGUCGUCCAGAAGAGGAGCUCCAGGAUUGGCCCGUGAAGAAGUCACCGUGACCACAUUAAACCAUAUUAAACAUUCCAGUGAUGCUCAGUCCUGGUCCUGGAGAUCGACCACCCUGCAGGGCUUAGUUCCAACCCUAAUUCAGCACACCUGAACCAGAUAAGGAAAGUCUUUUGGGGCAUCUGAACAUUAGAGCCAGGGGAGCUGGGUUUAAUCUCUCCAGGGUGGUAGAUCUCCAGGCCCUGAUUACAUAUAACAGGAAUAUUGGAGGUUUCUGACUGCAGCAGACCAAGCAGAGCAGUUUUCAGUCAUCUAUUAUGGCUGCUGAUGUUGUUCCACAUUUUCAGCUCUAACAGCUUCCACUCUUCUGGGAAGCUUUCUAUAGGAUUUUGGAGUGCCAGUGGGAAUUUCUGCUCAUUCAUCCAGAAGAGCAUUUGUGAGGUCACCAAGGUGUUUGAUGGGGUUGAAGUCAGGGCUCUGUGAGGGCCAAUCAACAUCUUCUACAGAGAACCAGAGAAAUGGUUCAUUUGAGAGAUCAGAAUGUGUUUCUAACAAUAGUUAACAGUUGCCUGCAUUAGAAACGAUUUAGUACUUAAUCA
ensembl:lncRNA